rnacentral:lncRNA from 1 species
CACCCCACAGAUGCUCCCUAUAAACACGCCCCAUGGAUUCGCCCCAUAGAUUCGCCCCACGGAUGCUCCCGAUAAACACACCCCACAGAUUCGCCCCAUAGAUUCACCCCACAGGUGCUCCCUAUAAACACGCCCCACUGAUUCGCCCCAUGGAUUCACCCCAUAGAUUCGCCCCAUGGAUUCACCCCACGGAUUCGCCCCAUGGAUUCGCCCCAUGGAUUCACCCCACAGAUUCGCCCCACAGAUUUGCCCCACGGAUUCACCCCACAGAUUCGCCCCAUGGAUUCACCCCACAGAUUCGCCCCAGAGAUUCGCCCCAUGGAUUCGCGCCACAGAUUCGCCCCACGGAUUCGCCCCACGGAUUCGCCCCACAGAUUCGCCCCACAGAUUCGCCCCACGGCUUCCCGGCCGCAGCGCGGCUCACCGGGGCAGCGGUACAACUUCCUGGCCUGUGCGAUGUCGCCUUUGCUGAGCCGCGCGCGCUGCCCGAUGGGCGGCCGGACGCCGUUCACGUCGUAUUUGGGCAGGAUGGUGUCCAGGAAAAUCCCCCUGCGGGCAGCGCGGCGCCGUGGGGCGCGGAUCAGCACCGCCACACAGGGGGCGCCAUGGGGCACAGCGGGGUGCUGGGGUGCUAUGGGAUGCUAUGGGGCGCUAUGGGGCACAGUGCGGUGCUAUGGGGUGCUAUGGGGCGCUAUGGGGCGCUAUGGGGUGCUAUGGGGCGCUAUGGGGCACAGUGCGGUGCUAUGGGG